CACGAUUUGGGCUUUCCUUUCCUUUAGUAAAAAAGAAAACGCCUCUCUCAGUCUCCUUCUCUCCUUCUUUCUUCUUUCAUUUUCGUCGACGUUAGAGUUACCUAAUGGAUUAUAAAAAUACUUUUUCUUUCAAGGAGGGCUACAGAUUUCUUGAAUCCAACGACAACAUGUGGUCUCUUUACGAUCUUUAACUUUUGUAAUUCAAGGCAUUGGAGGGGAGCGUUUUGGCAUGCUGAACACUUUCCUUUUCAUUCGAGGUGCCAAACAACACAGAUAGAGACUUCAACGAACCAAGGUUUUGUUAACCUUUUUUAGUCUUUGAAUAACGUUGAGCAAUUAGUGAAUUGCCAAUUCCAAAGUCUGGAAAUCCAAAUGAAGAUAAGUAUUAAUUUCAGUAGGUGUAUACGAAUGGCCUGCGUGGACUAAUAAUCUUCAGCUUUAGACUUAUCUUUAUCGUUUGAAGAGGUCUUGGCGUUACAACAUAGGUGCGAGAAACAUCCAACAGCCUUGCAGAUUGCAAAAUUAGACAGUUGACGAAAAGGUAAGCUUCAAUAUUUGUUAGUCAUGAAAUGUUAAUGCAUUGCAUUUGCUUAUUUGAGGAUGCUGGCUUUAUAAUUUUUCCCGCGUUAACUCGGAGAAAUAUACACUCUCCUGUUUAUGAUUUAUAUUAUAUUGCAGAUAAUUUAAAUUAUAUACUUCCCUCCACCCAUUUGUCUGUCUUUUUUUCGAUUGAAAUUUCCGGUAUUGGUGUCAUAAAUGAGAUUUCCGUGUUCUGUUGAAUGGGGUGUAGCUGCAAUAACAUUCGUAGAAUGGAACUUACUCGAUAAAAAUUUCAGUUACCCCUUGAAUUAGCCUUCUGGUAUUAAUCUAAUUCUCUAUCUCAACAUUUUCCGCAAGUUUCUUUUUCCAAUUUGUUUUCUUUUUCUCAUUCAGUUUUAUCCUUCAUUCUGCCUUUAUCGGUGCUGUUGGAAAUUCUGCAUUUUUUAAAAAUUGGAAAACGCAUGUAACUACUGAGUACUGAUUAAAGACAUAACCGACAGCCAGUUGAAUCUGUCAUCUCUCGAUCAGUUUCUCCACACAUCAAGGAAUGUAUCGGUAUAAUAAGGCGGCCCAAUUGGUUGCACUUAAUCCAGUAUGAUAUAUGUUAACCUAAAUUGUGUUUGUGCAACUGACAGGUAAACACUCACUAUUUCAGCUCUGACAUCAAUGUUUGGAAGUUCUUAUAUAUUAAAAGAUGCCAAGUGUUUAAGUUUAUUUCUGGCCAAAUUAUUCGUUUCAGUUCCAUGUUGAAUUUUGUUUGUGAGUUUGGUAACUUGGCAGGCAAGCAUAUUGUAUUUAAGUUCAUUUGGGUCAAAUAGUUCGUUUUAGUUAUGUCUUGGAAUUUUAUUUGUGAAGUUUACUUUGGAAGGUGGUUCUUUCUCAGGUAGGGAGGUUGGGGAUCGAGCCCUGUAAUAAACAUGAAAUCCGAAAUGAAUGGAUUGAGUAGUGCUAGGGACUACUGUUCUAUGUAAUCAAACAAAUAAGUUUACAUCGGCUGGAUAGCAUGUGUCUUAGUGUAUGAAACGACAUUCAGUGGACAUCACUAUACACUCAGGGGUUACUCUUAAUUACAUGGAUGUUUUCAUCUGUACGAUGUUUGAAGGGUAUUUUUGAAUAAACAUAAUAUAUAUAUAUGUGAGGCAACCAAGUCAACU